rnacentral:rRNA from 1 species
UACGGGGGGGGCAAGCGUUGUUCGGAAUUACUGGGCGUAAAGGGCUCGUAGGCGGCCAACUAAGUCAGACGUGAAAUCCCUCGGCUUAACCGGGGAACUGCGUCUGAUACUGGAUGGCUUGAGUUUGGGAGAGGGAUGCGGAAUUCCAGGUGUAGCGGUGAAAUGCGUAGAUAUCUGGAGGAACCCCGGUGGGGAAGGCGGCAUCCUGGGCCAACACUGACGCUGAGUGAGCGAAAGCCAGGGGAGCAAACGGG